rnacentral:rRNA from 1 species
GGUGGUGCAUGGUUGUCGUCAGCUCGUGUCGUGAGAUGUUGGGUUAGGUCCCGCAACGAGCGCAACCCUUACCUUUAGUUACCAGCAAGUAAAGUUGGGGACUCUAGAGGGACUGCCGAUGAUAAAUCGGAGGAAGGUGGGGAUGACGUCAAAUCAUCAUGCCCUAUAUGCCCUGGGCAACACACGUGCUACAAUGGUCGGAACAAAGGGAAGCGAAGUCGUGAGGCGAAGCAAAGCCCAUAAAACCGAUCUCAGUUCGGAUUGUUCUCUGCAACUCGAGAACAUGAAGUCGGAGUUGCUAGUAAUCGCAGAUCAGAAUGCUGCGGUGAAUGCGUUCCCGGGUCUUGUACACAC